rnacentral:rRNA from 1 species
UACGUAGGGUGCAAGCGUUAAUCGGAAUUACUGGGCGUAAAGGGUGCGUAGGCGGUUUUGUAAGUCUGAUGUGAAAUCCCCGGGCUCAACCUGGGAAUGGCGAUGGAUACUGGGGAGCUAGAGUGUGUCAGAGGAUGGUGGAAUUCCCGGUGUAGCGGUGAAAUGCGUAGAGAUCGGGAGGAACAUCAGUGGCGAAGGCGGCCAUCUGGGACAACACUGACGCUGAAGCACGAAAGCGUGGGGAGCAAACAGG